GCUGUGCGUUUUACCUAAAGAAAUUGUCUCUUGAAAGUGUUUUGCUCUCACAGAAGAGUGAGGCGAGCCCUUCCCAGGCUUCUUGGGUCAUGCUCCUCAUCCCUGACACCAUAGCUAGAAAUGAAAGUACCGUAAGGGUUGCUGAGGAAAACCUCGUCUCACAGUCUUGUUUUAUGAAAAGAACUGUUCAAAAACGCCGUCGAUAAGAUGGAAACCACCAUAACAUGAGAUUUAUAUGGGGAAAGGCCGUUAAACGUAGCACAAAGUCUGCGCUAGGCUAGCAGCCUGACCUGGAUAGCAGCCUUCGCUGGGGAGCGUCAGGCUUGAAGCCAGUGCCAGGGAAGAUCCAGAAUCCCAGAUGGAUGUCUUAAUCCUGUUACAACAAUAUUAACACAAGAUGACAAAGAAUAUAUACAAAAGCACUUCAAUAUGUUCUUCAAAAGGAAUCAGUUCAUACCCAAAGGAGCCUUUCUCUUUUAUCUACCUGUCCAGCAUCCAGAAGACCGUGGAAUGAAUGAAUUUCAAGGACAUAAUUUGCUCUCCUGCCUUGUUUCUACCCUACUAUGGUUAUUCUCAUAAGUGUUAGUGUUGCAGUUACUAAUAGUGUGGACACUUGUAAAACCAGAUUUCAACAUCAUCCAGUAUAAGUGGGGCAAAUAAAUUCUUUCCAAUGUUUCA
rnacentral:lncRNA from 1 species